rnacentral:ncRNA from 1 species
AAAAGAGCAUAAUUUUAGAAUUCAAGAUCUUGAAAAAAAUCUAUGCAUGUGAUAACCUUUUUCUGUCGCUACAUUCUAUACAAUCUAUUGGAAUGAAACUCAGCCUUAUUCAACACCCUCACAGUAGCCGCAAGUAAAUCUACUUAAUCAAGACUUGUACUAACAGAAGAACGACGAACAUAUGGGACGGCACGGUCGGUCCGCCGCAAGGUGUGUCACUGGCCGGGCUGUUCUUCCUCGCAAAGACUGCGUGUGCUCUUAGCUGAGUGUGCGCAGGACUUGCGACGUUUACUUUGAAAAAAUUAGAGUGUUCAAAGCAGGCCAUCGCUUGAAUACAUAAGCAUGGAAUAAUGGAAUAGGACUUUGGUUCUAUUUUGUUGGUUUCUGGAACCGGAGUAAUGAUUAAGAGGGACAGUUGGGG